AUGCGGAGAGGGACGAGGGCGCCGCUGGUGCCGCCGAGUGCGAGACGGGGAGCAGGAGUACUGCCAGCGGUGCGCAGAACGCCCGUAGGGGGCGGAGGAGCCGGGCGGGGCGCGGACGAGGAAGAGGCCAUGGCGCCCUCAGGAACAGGCGUUUUGCCCCGAUCGGACGUGGAGGGUCCGGGGCGCGCAGCGGGGGCCGUGGCGACCGGGGGAGUGGUGACCGCGGGCGUGGGGGCGGCAGGCGCGGCGGCGGCGAGGGGCACCGCGGCGAAGGGAGCGGGCGCCGGUGCGUCGAAGUCCGCCGAACGGGUGCGGCGGAGGAGGCGGUGCAUGGUGGAAGCGGAAGCAGGAAGAGGACCGGAGAUACAGCGACGAGAGGGAGCAGGGAGAUCGUGUGAGAUACAACGGCAUGGGCCGGUAAUACUCCUGGCAUGCGGGGAUAAGCACGCACGCAGUGCGUGCCCGUUGGAGCUCCUGGCGACGCGGUCGUGGAGUUAG
rnacentral:rRNA from 1 species